rnacentral:rRNA from 1 species
AUUGAACGCUGGCGGCAUGCUUUACACAUGCAAGUCGAACGGUAGAGGGGCAACCCUUGAGAGUGGCGAACGGGUGAGCAAUGCAUCGGAACGUGCCCAGUAGUGGGGGAUAGCCCGGCGAAAGCCGGAUUAAUACCGCAUGAGACCUGAGGGUGAAAGCGGGGGAUCGCAAGACCUCGCGCUAUUGGAGCGGCCGAUGUCAGAUUAGCUAGUUGGUGGGGUAAAGGCCUACCAAGGCGACGAUCUGUAGCUGGUCUGAGAGGACGACCAGCCACAGUGGGACUGAGACACGGCCCAGACUCCUACGGGAGGCAGCAGUGGGGAAUUUUGGACAAUGGGCGCAAGCCUGAUCCAGCCAUGCCGCGUGCGGGAAGAAGGCCUUCGGGUUGUAAACCGCUUUUGUCAGGGAAGAAAUCUUCUGGGCUAGUACCCUGGGAGGAUGACGGUACCUGAAGAAUAAGCACCGGCUAACUACGUGCCAGCCGCCGCAGUAAAAC